ensembl:lncRNA
CCGGGCGGUGCCUCAGACCGGCCUGGGGGAGCUCCUGAAGCCCAGCUCCCGGAGAGGCCUCCACGUGCCCAGCCACGCCUUACCACAUGGGGUGGGGGGUGGGGGGCUCGGAGACGCCGGAAGGCCAGGCCUGUGGGAGCAGAGUGCCUGAGUGUCUGCAGAAAGGAUCCAGGCUCCAGGGGCCCGGCUGGCGCUCCGCCUCCGUGCAAGGGAGGGGCUGAGCCCAGAUCCUCUCCCCAGCUGUGGCCAGGCGGCCUGUGUCUCUCCAUCCUGUCUCCUUGGCUUCCCCCUGGGACCAGCAGGGGACCUCGGGCCAAGUGGUGCUUCCCCCCUGGAAGAAUCCCUGUUCGUGCCCCAGGUCCCAGCAGUGACAGAAGAGGGGUGCAGCUGACCAAAGGUGUCCCCGGAGAAGCAAACAACCCUGCGCAUCCCUCCAGGCGCACAGCCAAUCUGUCCUGUGGUUGCCCAACUGGGAUUGACUGUGGGCCUCAUGGUCACAGCCCUCGGGAGAAAGUGGGGUGGAGGCACACUGGCCCAGUCCCCAUUCAUUUCGCCCCACUGGGAUGAAGGUAGGUGACACCUGUCCUCUGUCUCCCUCCCCAUCAGGAGCCCUCCUAGUUCCGAGUACCUGGAGACAGACCCUGAAGGUGGGUUCGAGGAGGUGGGUGCUGGAGCCAGCUGUGAGGAAGCUACCUUCUCUUCAGGGAACCCUGAAAUCGGGAGAGUGUGCCUGGCCCAGGAAUCAGCCCGGCCAAAGCAUGACAUUCCCAGAGAAAUGCAGGGUUGGAGAAAUGGGGUUGGAGAAAGGCAGAUGAGGGGACAGGGAGGUUUGUGGGGCUGGAGGGAGAGACCUGGGAUCGAGGUUAUUUGUCUGGGCUGGGUGUCCUGUGGCUCUGGAGGGCCCUCUUUGGCCCCUGCCAGGGGCUGGUGGAGAGGCUGAGGUGUUCCUGACCCGGGGGAUCUACUCAGGGACAUCCCUGGGUGCUGGGCCAGGUGCUGGGGCUGCUGGCAAAGCCGUGCUGUGGCACUGAAGGGUCCUUGGCUCUGUUGAGUUCCAGCGGCGUGACCUUGGGUGCGUUAUUAACCUGCAUGGCCUCAGUUUCCUCCUUUGCAGAUGGAGCUAAAAGUCAUUGCCUAGGAGUCCGUUGGUGGAUGAAAUUAAUUAAUUAACAAUUUCGCUAAGCACCUGGGCCUCCUGCAUAUCCUGUUCGUUUGCAAGCGUUAUUCUUAGCCAAGGAAAAGAGAAAGCUGGGUCUCCUCCAAGGACACUUUGACAGGUGUGGGGAACAUUCCUUGCUGAUGACAGCAAAGAUUUGCUCCAAAUGUUUUCUCUGUGGGAAGCGACUCCUUCAAAUUAUGCCCCCCCCCUUAAUCUCUGUUUAUGGAUGCACACUUCUAACCCUGGCGCCCUCACAGCAGUCCUAGGAUGCCGAAGGUACUUUGAGAUGCUCCCAUUUUUACUGAUGGGGAAACUGAGACCUACUGAAGCUAAUCCACUUGUCCAAGGUCAUAAAAACUCUAACUUGUGAACCUGAAUGUGGGCUCUUGCUUUGUGAUUUCUCUACCUGCCUCAAGGCCCUGGGACAGUUGGUAAUCCCUCCAGGAGUCUUGGGGUGAGAGCUGGGAGGCCUCGCUUGUACUUCCUUGAGUCAAGACAUGGUGGGUCCUGUUUCCAGGCCACACUGCCCUGGAGAGAGGAGCCAUCACCUGGCCUGCUUGACCUGGCCUGCUUGCUUUGUCUCAACCUCGAGAGCUCUUGUUCUGAGUGUCAGUUUUUCUACCUCGAAAAUGGGGACAUAGCACCUCCCUGGUGUCAUCACUGUGUCACCCUAGGCCAGGUGUGGGCAGGGAGUUUGUGAACAGCUCAGGCUAUGGGUGGGUACCUUCGGGGCUGGAGGUGGUGGCCCCGGGGUAGGGGACAGUUCGAAGCCAGCUGGGUUGCAUAGUGAGAUCAAGGCCAGUCUGAACUAUAUGAUGAGACCCUGUCUCAAAAAGAAAAAAACAAAAUAAAGUAGCUCAAACGUGUCCCUCCCCAGGCUGGAACCUUUCUUAGUGUCACCAGCACUCCACUGCCACAACUGAGCUGGGUGGCUGGAGCAGCCUUGCUUCUCCCUUCCUCCCCACCUGGGCCCCAGCACGCCCUGGCUGGCGGCUGCCAUGAUUCACCAGCUUAAGCCCUAGUUUCAUCUGUAAUCAGGAAGCGGGCCACUAGAGAGCCCGGGGCACUUUCUGGUGAGCCCAGAAACCUGGGGGAGGGGGCAGAGGAAGGAGGGGGCAGUGGGAGGAGGAAGGAGAAGUGGCCCCAGGAAUUUGCAUAAUUUGUUCAUUUCUUUGAGGAGGGUGAGAAAUUCCCAGGACCCUGUUUCCCUGGAAACCAUUCACCCCUUCGCCCAUUCAUUCUAGUUUAUUAAGCUCCAACCUUGCUGUUACCAGGGCGCUAGACAAGUGGAAGGAAGCGUCCUCGGCCUCCUUUCUGAAAGGACCACCACCAUGCAAAGGGGCAGUUCCUGCAGAGCGGAGUGGGGGCUGUGGUACAAUUUGGAACCCACCAGGGAGAGUAACUGGGGUUGGCACGGCAAAGGGGAGGUCUCUAAGAUUCCGUUCAGCAGUUCUGUUUGUUUGAGACAGGCAGGUCCUAUUUCCAAGCCACUUGCUAUAUAGUUCAGGUUGGCCUUGAACUCAGUGAUCUUCCUGCUUCAGCCUCCCAUGCCCCCCAGGAUUACAGGUGUGCGCUACCAUGCCUGCUGGGUUCAGCUCCUUCUGUCCCUUCUGAAUGGUGAUUCUUCUUCCCUGGGUUCCUCAUCAUGAGACUUCGAAGGGUGGAUGCAUAUAAAGCACUUGGAGCAGCACCUGAUGUGUGGCCUGCGUGGUGAAGGGUUAGCUGUUGCCAUUGCUGAAAAAUGGGUACUGUCUCGGGGACACAGUCAUGGCAUCAGAGCCUGCCUGGCCAGCAGGAAGAGGACAUCCCAGGUGAAGGGCACUGCUUUUGCCAAGGCACAUGGAUGUGUUGCGCACUGGUGAGGGAUGCGAGUGGGAAGGGGCACGUGAAGUGCUGUCAUUCCCUGUGGACAUGCUCCAAGGGAAGUCGGGAGCCAUGGAAGGCUUUUGGAAGCCUUGGAAGGCCAUGGAAGGGGAUCAAACUCAGGUCCUUGCACUUAUGCAGCAGGUGGCAAAACCACUGAGCUAAAUCCCUGGCCCCCUAUGGAAGGCUUUUGAGCAGAGGAGGAGUAGAACAGCUUGGAGCACCA